CUCAGGGACAUUGGUGACUGCUAGGAGCAAGCAGGCUCCAACUGAGAGACCUGGAAUUUGGGACUGAGACUACCAGCAAGACAGGCUUGGGAAGAGCCCUGAUAAGAAAUACACUUCAGCAACUCUAAGUUACAAAGGGUUUGUGUGAGAAUGUAUAGAGAGAAUGUGUAUAUGCACACAUGAACACCCUGGGGAGAUGAACAACAGAAGAAUUCUCCUUCCUUUCCAUCAGAUGCUGAUGCCUCCAGACUCUGAUGUGUAGACAUUAAAGGGUGUUGAUGAUGUCAGCUAUGUACCUUUUUGAGACUGCCUGCUUGAAAUAAAGCAACCAUCUCUUCCCAUCAAGAUUAGUCCUUGACCACAUUCCCAAAGAGAAAAGCCAGUCAAUUACACAAAGAACAGUAUAAUACAGACACAAUUUACAGAGCUAAUCCCAAAGUAGUAUACUGGGUUCUACAGUAUGUGUAGAGCUGAUGGUGAUAAUAGGGAUAGGCUGGGAAAAUCUAAAAUCUGGCUAAUCUUUUUCUUAUCUCCUGCUCCUUGUACUGUGGGUUGUCUGUCUUGGGCCUCCGAAAUCAGACUAAUCUACCUCUAUUCACACUGGACCUAAUUUUUCUCUCUCUAAUAAACAAUGAAGUUCCAUCCCUAUAUUGGAGAGCCCUGCAGAUGUUAAGAGGCCUACACUUGGUGACAAGCAUUUUGUGGUGAAGCUGUGUGUUGCAACUUAAAAACAUGAAAAGGAGAGCUAGGUUAUAUUUUUAUCCAGUUACUGUGUAU